UGCUAAGUGGACUUCAGGAUCCAUCCAUGUUGCUGCAAAUGUCUAUGUCUGUAUUUAAGGCUAAAGUGAAGCAACACCCAGGGUCCCAAGAAUAAGAACAGGAUGCAAUGACAGCUGGCACCACUGAAAGCUGUCACAUACCAACCUUCCCUCCAACUGCAAACAAUACCAACCACCUCACCUGCAGGGCCCUCAUUUCCUUCCAAAGAGAAAAAUACAGGAGACACAAGAUCACCACUCUCUCAAGAAAGCUCACACCUUUUGGAGAAAUAAUGGAUCCACUAUGGCUACAAAUGUGCCACAGGCCAGAAUUCUAGACAAGAUAUUGCAUGCUCCCACUAUGAUUUGAUGAGAACAGUCAUCCCUGUGGUCUUCUACCUGAAAGCCCAGAACCUUAUCUUACAUCAAAUAGACCUUGAAUGAGGCUCACUGACAAACUCUGACAGCCCUGAGCAGGUUCAGAACUGCGACAUGUAAGGUAGGCCUGGUUGGACCAGACCUAAGAAGGAUGCCUGGGAGAUAAAGCCUUGCAUCAGGCAAUAAACCAAUGCUGCUUCCAUGGUUUGGACAAAAGUACUGUGGAAACCUGAGAUGCUGGCAUCAGCAGGAACUGAGCAAGGAGUACAGGAGCCCUCUGCACCAUCUCUGCAACUUCUCUGUAAACCUAGAAUCACUUAAAAGUAAAAAAAAAUAUAUUAAAAAAUAAUAAUGAAAAUAAAGUGAAUCUCUUGUAAGUAGUA